rnacentral:rRNA from 1 species
AGCUCGUAGUUGAAUUUCGGGAUCAAUAUUUCGGUCAUGCCGUUGGUAUGCACUGUUAUCAUUGAUUUCUCACCUUCUAAAGAACCGUAAUGCCAUUAAUUUGGUGUUACGGGGAAUUAGGACUGUUACCUUGAAAAAAUUAGAGUGUUUAAAGCAGGCUCACGCUUGAAUACAUUAGCAUGGAAUAAUGAAAUAGGACAUCCGAUUCUAUUUUGUUGGUUUCUAGGAUCGAUGUAAUGAUUAAUAGGGAUAGUUGGGGGCAUUAGUAUUCAAUUGUCAGAGGUGAAAUUCUUGGAUUUAUUGAAGACUAACUACUGCGAAAGCAUUUGCCAAGGAUGUUUUCAUUAAUCAAGAACGAAAGUUAGGGGAUCGAAGACGAUCAGAUACCGUCGUAGUCUUAACCAUAAACUAUGCCGACUAGGGAUCGGAUGAUGUUAAUUUUUUAAUGACUCAUUCG